rnacentral:rRNA from 1 species
AGAUUGAACGCUGGCGGCAGGCCUAACACAUGCAAGUCGAGCGGCAGCACGGGUACUUGUACCUGGUGGCGAGCGGCGGACGGGUGAGUAAUGCCUAGGAAUCUGCCUGAUAGUGGGGGAUAACGUUCGGAAACGGACGCUAAUGCCGCAUACGUCCUACGGGAGAAAGUGGGGGAUCUUCGGACCUCACGCUAUCAGAUGAGCCUAGGUCGGAUUAGCUAGUUGGUAGGUAAGGCCUACCAAGGCUACGAUCCGUAACUGGUCUGAGAGGAUGAUCAAAGUCACACUGGAACUGAGACACGGUCCAGACUCCGUACGGGAGCAGCAGUGGGAAU